rnacentral:lncRNA from 1 species
UCAACUGUAUGUUACCUUCACAUAUAGUGCGCUGGCCCUACAUGCAAUGCCAUGGUCUCACUCCCUCACCCUCAUCUUUCACUUUUGUGGUCAAUUUAUUUAUUUAUUUAUGCAAAGGUUGUCAAUUUCUCAACCUGUUUCUGCAUGGAAGAAGAAGAAGAAAUUAAUAAUGAUGAUGAAAAUGAAAGCGAAGACAAUAUGGUCGAGUAGCUAAUUAACCAAUGAGUCUACAGCUGUUGUUGACAUAAUGAAUCCUAAUCAGUUCACACUUUCGUUAGUUGCCUAUUUGAUCUAAGCA